AGUAACGCGUGAGUAACCUGCCUCUAAGAGGGGAAUAACAUUCUGAAAAGAAUGCUAAUACCGCAUAACAUAUAUUUAUCGCAUGGUAGAUAUAUCAAAGAUUUAUCGCUUAGAGAUGGACUCGCGUCCGAUUAGUUAGUUGGUGAGGUAACGGCUCACCAAGACUGCGAUCGGUAGCCGGACUGAGAGGUUGAACGGCCACAUUGGGACUGAGACACGGUCCAA
rnacentral:rRNA from 1 species